CUGCUAUUUCAGGACCGCAUUUUUAGGACCCUAGACUUUCGCGACAGUGACAACACACUUGAUGAGGCUGUGGAGGCUUUCUUAUACCCACAAAGAAAGGAUUCCACCAGACGACCAUCGCCAGCUUGUGUACCAACCUCCUGCCCAUCUACGACUACUCUGCCUGCUACCUGCCUGUACCUCUGCUGCCAGCCUGUGUACCAACCCCCUUGCCUGUCCACGACUACUCUGCAUCUGCUCCUGCCCUCGAACCAACCCCGCUACUUCCCCAGCCUUCCCCGCU
ensembl:lncRNA